rnacentral:lncRNA from 1 species
AAAAAAAAAAAAAAAAGUUCCCGGGCCAGAGAUCAAACCCAAGCCACAGCAGCGACAAUGCAAGAUCCUUAACUGCUAGGCCACCAGGGAACUCCUAAUAACUUAUGUUUUAGAAAUACAAAGUCAGGGAGAAACUUCAGGCAGAGUAUUGCAAGGAACGUUUAUGGGCGCCUGUUCUGUGCCAAGCAUGGUGCCAACUGCAUUUACGUUUAUUUUUUCAUUUAAUCUUUGUACCAUCUCUUCAGAGGUAUAAUUGCAGGUAUAAUUACCACCAUUUUGCAGAUGAGGGAAAUGAGGUGUCAGAGAGGUUGAGCAACUUGCCCAAGGUCACACAGCUAGUGAGUGGUCUUGGUCUGACUUCAAAGCCGGUGUACUUUUUCUUAUUGCCCUUAUUACGCAGUAACAGCAUUUAUUGCUAAAAGGGAAUGUUACUGGAUUGAAGAAAAUGCAUGUACUCUGUCAUUUUUUUUUUUUUUUUUUUUUCUGAAAGAGCUUUCUUUGCCAUUGUUCUCAUGUCUUAUAUUUCCAUUAAGGCUUUUCCCCUAUAUGCUUUUAUUUCAGAGGUUGGUACAAGACUAUGCUUCGUCCAGGCUGCCCUGCAAAUUACAAUUCCAGCUUUACCUUGGCCUCUCCUGGGAGAAGACCGAGACAAAGCCUUCUGUGGCUCUAAUUAGGCUGUAAUUUGGCCUCCGAGCCGUGGAGGUCGGGAUAUGCAGCUUUAGCAGAGAUCUGCGUCCUGUCUCUGGGAACAGUGGCUUUGUUAACAUGCUUCUCUGGUGUGUCAUCCGUCUCACUGUUUCUCGUAUGGGGUUUUCAGAUGCUGCUCACUGGUUCUUUGGGGAUAGUUGUUUUUUUAAAGCGUUUUUCGCAGUCUUCAAGGUUUGAUUCUUUAAGGAUGCAUUUCCUAGUGUUUAACUUUAUUGGUCUUUGGCACUUAUUUGGACAAUGUAGGAGGCCGAGUUAGAACUGAAUUGCUGUUUAGAUGAGACAAAGGCGCAUUUAUGAUUGACUAAGAUACUCACACGGAUUGUUUAAUUAUCUUCCAGAACAUACGUGUGCAAUUGUAGUCCUUCGGAUGUAUUUUGGGAAAGGGAACUGACUACUUAAAGGAUAAAAUUUGAAAGAGGUGAAAUGGAGAUUUUCAUGGGGUUUGAAUCUCUGGGUCAAAAUCAGGUCUAUACCUUCAAAACAACUUUUAUGUUGUCUUUAAAAACAAGGUUACUAGGAAUUGUCUGUAUUCAAUGUGUGUGCUUGGAUCCUUAACCAAUUCAAAGGACCUGAGAUGAUUGAGAAACCAAUGCUGUCUUACAUACUGCGUUUAUCUUGAGGUGAUUCAGAAAUUAAAAGUGAAAACAGAACAACUGUGAUUCAGGACAUUUUUGUAAGGAGGGAAAAUACAAGGAAGGAAAAAAAAGUAAAAUUCCCCUCUUUGGAACUUACGUGGUCUGCAGAAAAAUAGUUUACUCAGCACGGUGUCUCCAAAAUACAUGCGUAUAUAUGUAUUUCAGUCAUUUUUCUUUAGCCAAGUAUCUGUCACCUCACUGGUGCUUUAAUUCCUCACAUCUAAUUGGUGAUCAGAACCCUGAAUUCUGUUAAAUGAAGCUUUUAAUCUGUCCCUUCUUGUCCAACCCAGCUGCCCUGCUGCUACUUUGACUUCUCGCCUUUUUUGUUGUUGUCUUUUGUUUUCUGGCCGCCCCCCCACGGCCUGCGGAAGUUCCAGGGUUCAACCUGUGCCACAGCAGUGACAAUGCCGCAUCUUUAACCCAAUGAACCACCAGGGAACUCUGACCCCCCCCCAAAUCUUCCGUCCGCCAACCUGCCUUUUACACAGCUGGCACAGCCAUGGCUCCUUCCUAAACAUACCUGGUCAAGUCAUUCUGCCACUUAAAAUCCUUCUGUCUGUAUUUCACAGAGGAAAAAAAAAAAAAAAAAAAAAAACCAGUAGGACAAAGACACAAAAUAAAGAUGGGGACAAGACAAAACACAGAACCUCCCUUCUGAUCCUGGCCUUCCUGCCUCCUCAUCGCUGGUAUUCCAGCCUCAGGGACAAGCCAAUUACUCUUGGGCUAGUCCUUUUGAUCCCAGGGUGCUGUUGGCCUAGAAUGUUCUUCACCAUCCCCUCCCCUUCCUGAGUCUCAGAGUAGGUUUUUGCAUCAUCACCUCCUUGAUAAUCUCUUCCCUCCCUCCUCUGCUUCUAUUUCACCCCAAGCCCAGUGCGUGUUCACUCUUGACCUAGGUUGCAUACGUUUUAAUUAUUCCAUUUGUAUCUAAUGCUUGUCUUUUAAUAGCGAUGAGACAGGUGGUUGAGACCUUGGGCUCUGAAAGCCUGGAUGCCGAGUCUGGCUUUGCUAUUCUAGCUGGGUUCCUGGGCGAGUCCCUUAAGCUUCCGUCUGAGCAUCUGUAAAAUGGGGGGAUAACAAGAGCAUCCACUUCCGGGGCCUGGAGUGAAGAUUCAGGGACUCAACUCGAUGCCUGUAAACUCUGGUAACACUCCCUGGCUGUGACAAGCUAAUUGUCACAUAGCUCAUUUUGUGAGGAGGCCAUUAUGUAAACGGCAGAGAUCUUAUUAGAGAAAGUACUUUAUUUUAAAAUUAUUCAUUUAAUGAGGUUAAUUAAAUGCUAAUAAAUAAAUAAACAAACAUUGCUGUAUUCAUUUGUAAGAUAAAGAAUCAGACCAUGUUAGAAUCAGUCACAACAAAUUGCUCUUUGUUGGCAUAGAGCUCUUACUCAGGAAAAGGAAAAAAAUCUUUUUUUUUUUUUCUUUUUAGGGCUGCACCCGAGACAUGCAGAAGAUCCCCAGGCUGGGGUUGAAUCGAAGCUGCAGCUCCUGGCCUGCCCACAGCCACAUGGGAUCCAGGCUAUGUCUGCAGCCUACACCAUGGCUCAUGGCAACGCCAGAUCCUUAAUCCACUGAGCAAGACCCGGGAUCGAACCUGAGUCCUCAAGGAUACCAGUUAUAUCCUUAAUCCGCUGAGCCACAACAGGAACUCCAGGAAAAUGUUUUGAAAUAAAGGAAUUGUCUACUUGGGCAGACAAGUUUAAUGCGGUUCUUGAACUUGAGUAAUUUUCUAGUCGGAACCUUGACUGAUUGAUGGAUUAUCUACGAAAUUAUUGAACUCAUUUACUCGGUUUCUGAAGAAUCCAGCGCACAGAUUAAAUUACGUUGCUGUCCAGGGCACAACCAGAAGUGAGAGGAUUUUGAACAUCCAAAAUGUUUCCUGUCUACAUAUAUUAAACACAAGAGGAGAAGGAGAUAUUCUUAUUACACGUAUUAAGUGAGAUUAAGAGAGAUCCUGAGACGUUAAACUCCAGAACCAAAAGACUGACUUUUAAAAAGAACAGGAAUACCAACAAUUGCAACCAAAGAAACCCCGUUGGGGACUUUGUAUUUUCCAUUACUGGGUAGGAGUGCGUAGGGUUUAAUUUGUGAGAGAGAGAGACGCGUGGUGAUUCGAGAUAUCUGAGCUAUAUUAUUUGUGAACCAACACCCAACUGCAUGGUGAUAUAUUUUGAAAAACAAUCAGAACUGUUAAUUUAAUGUUUUCACUAGAACGAUGUAUGAUUUAGAAAGACGACUACAGGAGACCCCCCUGUGACCAAUGGGAUCAGGGGCGAAUCUGUAGCACCAGGACGCAGGGGUCUAUCCUGGCCCCUGGCACAGUGGGUUAAAGGAUCCGGUGUUGCCGUAGCUGCGGCUGUAGGUUGAAACUGUGGCUCAGAUCUGAUCCCUGGCCUGGGAACUCCAUGUGCCAUAGGGCGGC